rnacentral:lncRNA from 1 species
CCCCCCCCCAUUCUCACGCCUACUCUCCCUCUCUCUUAUCUCUCUCUUUUCCCUUUCUACCACCAUGGAUAACCAUUCUCAAAGCUUCCAAGAUCCUUUCUAUACCAAGAAACUCCAUCAAAUCAAGUCCUAAACAUCUAUAUUCCUUGAAUCAAGAACUAGUUUGGAGGGAUUUUCAAGCUUGAAGCAAAAGAGAAGUAUUUUUUUUAUCCUUCCUUAAAUCAUUGAGUAAGUACUAGAUCUAUUUAGAUCUAAGCUUGAUUGAGUUAUAUAUGUGUAUAAAUGGAUUAGAUCUAGCAAGAAAAUAUCAUUUUCUUUUUCUUUGUAAUUUUCGAAAUUUAGGGGUUCUCCCCUUCAAAAAAAUUUCUUAUUCUUUUCUUAAUUUGGCAUGAGAUCUAUGCUUAUUGAGGUGUUUUGAGAUGAUUUCUAUGUGUAUUGAGAGGCUUUGCCAUGAGAUAUGAUUUUUUAUUUAGGUUAAUUUGUCUUAAAUAAGAAAUUCUUGAAUAUAUGGGUUAAAUGAUGAAUUGAUGGUGAAUAUGAGCUUAUGAGAUGACUAAUAUGAUAUUUGACGGAGUAGAUUGAUGAUUGAAGUUGAUGGUCAAAUUUCAGUGAGAGUUAGUUUGAUGUGAUUUGGGUAAAACUUAUUCUAUGGUUUAAUUGAUUAAUUGAUUGGUUAAUAAUGCAAUUAGGUGAUUCAAUUUGAUUAAUCUAAGGUUGGAUUAAUGACUUAUGCAUGUUUGUAGAUUUUUAAAAAGUUUAGUUUGUUAAAAUUGGGACUUUGUGAUCUACGUGUUAAUUGAUUAAAUUGGCUAAGUUUAAUUAUUAUUAAGCAUGAUAGAAAUGAUAAUUAGGAUCAAUUUGGUUAAUUGUCAAGAAUUCCUAAAAUUGGUUAAGUCUAGUUUACUAAUAAUUGGGAACUUUUGAUUAAUGAGAUAAAUACUUGAAUUGAUGAUGUUUAUAUGUUAGUUAGACUACUAGCAAGGAGAAAGCACGAUUAAUUUGGUUAAUGAUGUGAUUUGUGAAAGUUUCUUGAGUUUAGUUUACGUGCAGACAUGAGAUCUUAUAUAUAAGAUGAGUUAUGUUGCUGCUGGGGGCGUUUUUAGGGAUCAUUGGGGCUGGGUCCGGGGUUGCUUCCACUUUAAAGGAGGAACGGGGUUUGCCUUUGAAGCGGAACUUCUUGCGGUUAUUUAUGCAAUUAUGAUUGCACAUCAUAGAGGCUGGCAUAUGUUGUGGAUUGAAAGCGAUUCGGCCUAUAUUGUUCGUCUGUUGACUUCUAGAUCGUUGGAUGUUCCGUGGCGUUUCAUGGCGGCUUGGAGAAAGGCGCUUAAGCUCUUGGAGGAGUUUCAGUUGCAGGUGUCGCAUAUUUUUCGUGAGGGAAACUGUGCGGCAAACUUGAUGGCGAAUCAGGCUAGACCUGAGGGAUGGUGGCCCUAUGCCCGGGACGAAAUUAAAAAAGCGGUGGCCAUGGACAUGGUGACUCAUAGCCAUGUUAGGAUCAAGUUUUGACACGGGUUGCAGUUGCGGUUUCUUUUCGCGCUGCUGUUUCGGUUUGCUCAGGGAGCUUCUGGUGCGUUUCUUGGAUGCGGAUUUUUGUCAAACAGAUGGUGGGCAGGUUUCUGCACGGAUUUUGUUCAUCAGGAGGCUGGAAUGGAGUUUCUUUUUCCUCGAGCAAGAGUUGCUACCUGUUCAGCGGUGUGAUCUGCAGCUGAAUAAGGAGCAGAUCUGGUGGGCGGGCUUGGGUUUCGGGCGGUCGUUUGCUGGUGGCACCUCUUCGGCCGAUUUGAUCGCCUUGUCGUCUGGUGUGAGCUGUUGGGGGAAGAUUGUAGCCGGCAACAACCUGAUCUUUGUUUCUCAUGGAUCGGUUGGAAGAGAUUUUUUGGAGGAGGAAGGGCCUGCAGCGACGGCGUAUCACCGGCUGCUUGGUCCCUCUACCUCUGUUGAUCGUUGGCUGGAGGAGGGAAUCGGCGACGGCGUAUUACCGGCCGAUUUCACUUCUAUGACAGCUUUCAGUGUGGCCUCCGUUGUCGAUCGUGGGCUGGAGGAGGGAAUCGGCGACGGCGUAUUACCGGCCGAUUUCCCUUCUAUGACAGCUCUCAUUGUGGCCUCUGUUUUUGCUCGAUGGCUGGAGGGGGGAUUCGGCGACGGCGUUUUACCGGCCGGUUUUCCUCCUAUGACAACUUUCGGGUUUAUUUUCUUGGUUGUUGGUUGUUUCUUGCGUUUGCUUUUCUUCUUAUUUUUGUUUUGUGUUGUGAAGCCGGGAUUUUCUAGGAACGAUGGUUCGGCCGGAGUUUCUGAGAUUCUUCCAACUCAGCUUCUGACACUUUUUUAUCUUAGACGAGUACUCUUUUUCCUCAUGCUGAGGUUUUAAUGAGGCUCGGCCCUUAGUCUGCUUUUCUGUGCUUUCAAGGGUUUAGGUUUUCUUGUUUUUCUUUUUUCCUUUUAAUUUAAUCCUAUUUUAAUAAUAUAUAAGAUGAGUUAUGAGUUGAGCAUGUUUAUAUAUGGCUAUUUGAUGAUUAAUUGAGCUUAUAUAUGCGAUAUGAGACGAAACGGACCAACCCCUAAUGACUUAUGUGUUGGCCGAAUGUAAGAAGAAAAAGGGGAAGUCGAUGUUUGAAUUUUCUUGAGUUAUAUGAUUAUAUAUUUAUUUUAUUGUGUAUUAUGUGAGCUUACUUUGAAUUUAUGAGAAUAUUUUUUUCACCGAAGAAGUCCGGAGUUUAAGUAUAUUUGCUUUAUGCUCAAGUUUGGAGUUAAUUUGAGAACCUUUUUAAAGGCUACUGACCUACUGUUUUCGACGAGAUUUUGUUAUCCAAAAGUCUUGAAAAUGUUAUUCUUGGUUUAUAUGAGAGUCUUGAGCAUACCGGUAAAAUUUCAAGUCAAUUGGACUUCGUUUACUAUUUUUAUAAAAUGAAAAACUAAAACUGCUUUUUUCUGCCGAAAUAUUCGGUGAGUAGCCAAUAGAGUCAACUUUUCCAGUAUUUUUCCCUAACGUUUUGGAGCCCAAAUUUUUAUUAUUAAGACAUGAGUGUCUUAGCUAAAUACGCACCAAAUUUCAAGCCUUUUCGGCAACGUUUACUAUUUUUCAAAAAUCAAGGUUUCCAAUUGCUCAAAACUGCCGAAUAUGGUAGACUGUAGGAAAACAGUCAUAUCUCCUAAACUACUUGGAGUUUUUCAUCCUACUUUUUUUUUUGAANUUUAGGGGACAAGUUCAUUAAAAUGAGCAUUAAUUAAUUAAGUACUUCGCGAGCAAGCUUCGCUCUCAAACAAAAACAAUCUCUCUCUCUUCCCCCCCCCCCCAUUCACACGCCUACUCUCUCUCUCUCUUACCUCUAUCUCUUUUCCCUUUCUACCACCAUGGAUAACCAUUCUCAAAGCUUCCAAGAUCAUUUCUAUACCAAGAAACUCCAUCAAAUCAAGUCUUAAACAUCUAUAUUCCUUGAAUCAAGAACUAGUUUGGAGGGAUUUUCAAGCUUGAAGCAAAAGAGAAGAUUUUUAUCCUUCCUUAAAUAAUUGAGUAAGUACUAGAUCUAUUUAGAUCUAAGCUUGAUUGAGUUAUAUAUGUGUAUAAAUGGUUUAGACCUAGCAAGAAAACAUCAUUUUCUAUUUUUUAGUAAUUUUUGAAAUUUAGGGGUUCUCCCCUUCAAAAUAUUUUUCUUAUUCUUUUCUUAAUUUGGCAUGAGAUCUAUGCUUAUUGAGGUGUUUUGAGAUGAUUUCUAUGUGUAUUGAGAGACUUUGCCAUGAGAUAUGAUUUUUCAUUUAGGUUAGUUUGUCUAAAAUAAGAAAUUCUUGUAUCUAUGGAUUAAAUGAUGAAUUGAUGAUGAAUAUGAGCUUAUGAGAUGACUAAUAUGAUAUUUGAUGGAGUAGAUUGAUGAUUGAAGUUGAUGGUCAAAUUUCGGUGAGAGGUAGUUUGAUGUGAUUUGGGUAAAACUUAUUCUAUGGUUUAAUUGAUUGUUUAUUUAUGCUUUUAAGUGUGCCAAUUUAAUAGAUCUAAGGCUGGAUUAAUGAUUUAUGCAUGUUUACAAAUUUUCAAAAAGUUUAGUUUGUUAAAAAUUGGGACUUUGUGAUCUAUGUGUUAAUUGAUUAAAUUGGCUAAGUUUAAUUGUUAUUAAGCAUGAUAGAAAUGAUAAUCAGGGAUCAAUUUGGUUAAUUGUCAAGAAUGCCUAAAAUUGGAUAAGUUUAGUUUACUAAUAAUUGGGAACUUUUGAUUAAUGAGAUAAAUACUUGAAUUGAUGGUGUUUAUAUGUUAGUUAGACUACUAGCAAGGAGAAAGCAUGAUUAAUUUGGUUAAUGAUGUUGAUUUGUGAAAAUUUCCCUAGUUUAGUUUGCGUGCAUACAUGAGACCUUAUAUAUAAGAUGAGUUAUGAGUCGAGCAUGUUUAUGUAUGGCUAUUUGAUGAUUAAUUGAGCUUAUAUAUGCGAUAUGUGACGAAACGGACCAACCCCUAAUGACUUAUGUGUUGGCCGAAUGUAAGGAGUAAAAGAGAAAGUCGAUGUUUGAAUUUUCUUGAGUUAUAUGAUUAUGUAUUUAUGUUAUUGUGUAUUAUGUGAGCUUAAUUUGAAUUUUUGAGAAUUUUGCAUCGAAGAAGUCCGGAGUCUAAGCAUAAUUGCUUGUAUGUUCAAGUUUGGAGUCAUUUUAUGACCUUUUCUACCUACUGUUUCGUUGGGUUAUUGAUACCCAAAGACCUUGAAAAUUUAUGGUAAGAUUAUAUGAGAGUCUUGAGCAUACCGGUAAAAUUUCAAGUCAAUUGGACUUCGUUUACUAUUUUUAUAAAAUGCAAAACUAAAACUGCUACUUUCUGCCGAAAUGUUCGGUGAGUAGCCAAUAGAGUCACCUUUUCCAGUAUCUUUCCCUAACGUUCUGGAGCCCAAAUUUUUAUUGUUAAUACAUGAGUGUCUUAUCUAAGUACCCACCAAAUUUCAAGCCUUUUCGGCAACGUUUACUAUUUUUCAAAUCAAGGUUUUCAAUUGCUCAAACUGCCGAAUAUGGUAGACUGUAGGAAACAGUCAUAUCUCCUAAACUACUUGGAGUUUUUCAUCCUACUUUUUUUUUUAAAUGAAACUAGACUCAAAGAGGUUUCAAUUGGUAUAGGUCACGACUCCAGUGGAGUUCUGUACCGAGUCUGGUGAAGUCUUUAAAUUGAGUCAGUGCAGAAUGAUGUUUGUUUGUGACAUGUCUAUGUGUGAAUUUAUAUGCUUAUGUGAUUAUGCUUGUUUAUGUGCUUGAUUGCUAUGAGUUUAACCCGAGUUGAGUGUUAAGUCGAGAGUAGGACUUGUGAAUCCUUAGGAGUUAAGUAUACCUAGGGAUUGAGAUUUAUUUGGGUAAAUAGAAGAUGAGUGAUAAGUUAUAUCUUGAGACGAGAUUGGAUUUUAGUAAAUGAGUUUCUAACUGAGGUUUAUCUUAUCUCAUGAACCACUCACGUUGUGACAUCUGAAGAUACGAGCAGAGGACGGAGGUAAUAUCGCCCAAGUAUUACGAGAGUAAGCUAAGUUUGUCAGGUGGGCAUUAUUUUGAGUAUACAUAUUAUACGAGCUUUCUUAAAUGAUAUGAUACUUAUGAUUAUGAAUUGAGUUAAUGUUAUGCUUGAAACUAAUUGACUUGCCGAGUUUUGUUAAUAAUGACUUGUGUGUUACCCUCUACUGAUGAGACGAAUUCGGUCCUGCCACAAGCGGGAUUUUGUGCACAGAGGUGACUGUGAGCCGUCUAUCGGGUCGGCCGGUCACGGUACUUGAGAGGGAGGCCUACUUCUCAGUACCUUUGAUGAUGAGUAGUGGAUGUGGUACAUACUUAAUGAAUAUUUAAACUGCGCAGUUACUUUAUUAUGAUGUUAUGAAUUGCGAAAUUGCAUGCACAGGUUCUUCUCUAACUAAAACCCCUGUGUGUGCUUAAUGUGGCAAGUUCAAUUUAUAGCUCUAAGAGCAAGCUUUCAUUUGUUUUUCGGCAUAUGUCCACUGAGUACUUUGUACUCAGCCCUGCAUGUAUUUCUAAAUGUGCAGGAUAAGCGAGGAUGGAGAAUGGUCUGGUGUUGGCGAGGAUUUUGUUCCGAUGUUAUCCUUUUAUCGUAUUUAUAUUACAUACGGUAGCUUUUUGAUGUCGAUGUUUAUAUUUUGGACUUAGUCAAGAAGUAUACUCUCGGCUAUAUGUCUUCAUACAUAUAGUCUGUAUACGUUUUGCUGCGAGACUCUGUAAAUUAUAAACCUUUGUAAAUUUUUAACUAUGUCUACUUUGUAAACUUUGUCG